CCAGAGAACUUUCCAGAGAUGGAUUGGUGGCCUUCGGGGAACUCUGAGACAGGUGCUGCAUGGCUGUCGUCAGCUCGUGUUGUGAAAUGUUGGGUUAAGUCCCGCAACGAGCGCAACCCUUAUCCUUUGUUGCCAGCGGUUAGGCCGGGAACUCAAAGGAGACUGCCAGUGAUAAACUGGAGGAAGGUGGGGAUGACGUCAAGUCAUCAUGGCCCUUACGAGUAGGGCUACACACGUGCUACAAUGGCGCAUACAAAGAGAAGCGACCUCGCGAGAGCAAGCGGACCUCAUAAAGUGCGUCGUAGUCCGGAUUGGAGUCUGCAACUCGACUCCAUGAAGUCGGAAUCGCUAGUAGUCGUGGAUCAGAAUGCCACGGUGAAUACGUUCCCGGGCCUUGUACACACCGCCCGUCACACCAUGGGAGUGGGUUGCAAAAGAAGUAGGUAGCUUAACCUUCGGGAGGGCGCUUACCACUUUGUGAUUCAUGACUGGGGUGAAGUCGUAACAAGGUAGGCGUAGAUGA
rnacentral:rRNA from 1 species